GUUAUUUCCAUUAUUUCCGUUAUUUCAGUUAUUACCGUUGUUGUUCUUGAUCUGUCACCAAAUUGUCUGACGUAUCUUUCUGUCUCUCUGGAGAUUAUCUCCGUUAAUACCGUUAUUAUUUCCGUUUUUUCCGUUAUUUCCGUUAUUUCCAUUAUUUCAGUUGUGGUUCUUGACCUGUCACCUAAUUUUCUGCCGAAUGUUUCUGUCUCUGUGGAGGUUAUUUCCGUUAUUUCCGUUAUAUCCAUUAUUUCCGUUAUUAUUUCCGUUUUUUUUUUUCUGUUAUUAUUCCCAUUAUUUUUUUUGUUAUUUCUGUUAUUACUUGUUAUUUCCGUUAUUAUUUCCGUUAUUUUGGUUUUUUUUUUUAUUUCCGUUGUUGUUCUUGACCUCUCACCUAAUUUUUUGCCGUAUGUUUCUUUCUCUCUGGAGGCUAUUUCCAUUAUUUCCGUUAUUUCCGUUGUUGUUCUUGACCUGUCACCUAAGUUUCUGCCGUAUGUUUCUGUCUUCAAAGGUUAUUUCCGUUAUUUCCGUUAUUUCCAUUAUUUCCCUUGUCGUUCAUGACCUGUCAGUUAAUUUUCUGCCGUAAUUUUCUGUCUCUGUGGAGUUUCUAUCCAUUAUUGCCGUUAUUUCCGUUAUUUCCGCUAUUUCCGUUAUUUCCGUUGUUGUUCUUGACCUGUCACCUAAUUUUCUGCCGUAUGUUUCUGUCUCUGUGGAGGUUAUUUCCGUUAUUUCUGCUAUUUCUGUUAUUUCCGUUGUUGUUCAUGACCUGUCAGGUAAUUUUCUGCCGUAUGUUUCUGUCUCUGUGGAGGUUAUUUCCAUUAUUUCCGUUAUUUCCGUUGUUUCCAUUAUUUCCAUUAUUUCCGUUAUUUCCAUUGUUGUUCUUGACCUGUCACGACAUUUUCUGCAAUAUGUUUCUGUCUCUGUGUAGUUUAUUUCCGUUAUUUACGUUAUUUUUGUUAUUUCCGAUAUUUGUGUUAUUUCCCUUAUUUCCGUUGUUGUUCUUGACCUGUCACCUAAUUUUCUGCUGUGUGUUUCUGUCGCUCUGCAGGUUUGUUCGAUUAUUUCCGUUAUUUCUGUUGUUCUUCUUGACCUGUCAUCGAAUUUUCUGCCGUAUGUUUCUGUCUCUGUGGAAGUUAUUACUGUUCUUUCCGUUCUUUCCGUUUGUUUUCUUGACCAGUCACCUAAUUUUCUGCCGUAUGUUUCUCUCUCUGGAGGUUAAUUCCGUUAUUUUUGUUAUUUACUUUAUUUACGCUAUUUUCGUUCUUUCCGUUCUUGUUCUUGACCUGUCACUUCAUUUUCUGCCGUAUUUUUCUGUCUCUGUGGAGGUUAUUUCCUUUAUUUCCGUUAUUUUUGUUAUUUUUGUUAUUUCUGUUAUUUUUAUUAUUUCAGCUAUUUUCGUUAUUUCCGUUGUUGUUCUUGGCCUGUCACCUACGUUUCUGCCGUAUGUUUCUGUCUCUCUGGAGGUUAUUUCGGUUAUUUUUGAUAUUUCCGUUAUUUCCAAUCUUGUUCUUGGCCUGUCACCUAAUUUUCUGCUUUAUGGUUCUGUCUCUGUGGAGGUUAUUUCCUUUAUUUUCGUUUUUUUCCGUUAUGAUGUACGUUAUUUCUGUUAUGAUUUCCGUUAUUUAGGUUAUGAUUUCCGUUAUUUCGUUUUUUUCUGUUAUUUCCGUUUUUGUUCUUGACCUGUCACCUAACUUUCUGCCGUAUGUUUCUAUCUCUCUGGGGGUUAUUUCCGUUCUUUCCGUUCUUUCCGUUAUUUCCGUUAUUUUUGUUCUUUCCGUUCUUUCCGUUGUUGUUCUUGACCUGUCACGUAAUUUUCUGCUGUGUAUUUCUUUCUCUCUGGAGGUUAUUUCUGUUAUUUCCGUUAUUUCCGUUAUUUCCGUUAUUUCCAUUUUUUCAGUUAUUUUCUUUACUUUUCUUGGACUGUCAUCUAAGUUUCUGCUGUAUGUUUCUUUCUCUCUGGAGGUUAUUUCCGUUAUUUCCAUUAUUUCCGUUAUUUCAGUUAUUUUCUUUACUUUUCUUGGCCUGUCAUCUAAGUUUCUGCAGUAUGUUUCUUUCUCUCUGGAGGUUAUUUCCGUUAUUUCCAUUAUUUCCGUUAUUUCAGUUAUUUCCUUUAUUCUUCUUGGCCUGUCAUCUAAGUUUCUGCUGUAUGUUUCUGUAUAUCUGGAGGUUAUUUCCGUUAUUUCCAUUAUUUCCGUUAUUUCAGUUAUUUCCUUUAUUCUUCUUGGCCUGUCAUCUAAGUUUCUGCUGUAUAUUUCUGUCUCUCUGGAGGUUUUUUCCAUUAUUUUCGUUAUUUUGGUUAUUUCUGUAUUUUCGUUAUUUCCGUAAUUAUUUCCGUUAUUUCCGUUGUUCUUCUUGGCCUGUCAUCUAAGUUUCUGCUGUAAGUUUCUGUCUUGCUGGUGAUUAGUUCCUUUUGUUCCGUUAGAUCCGUUAUUUAUUUCCGUUAGUUCUGGAAUUUAUUUCCGUUAGUUCCGUUAUUUAUUUCCAUUACUUUCGUCUUUUAGUUCCCUUAUUUAGUUCCGUUAUUUAGUUCCGUUUUUUCCGUUGUUCUUGGACUGUCAUCUAAGUUUCUGAAGUAUGUUUCUUUCUCUCUGGAGUUUAUUUCCUUUCUUUCCCUUAUAAUUUCCCUUAUUAUUUCCCUUAUUAUUUCCCUUAUUUCCCGUAUUUUUUCCCUUAUUUCACUUAUUCUGUUAUUUCCCUCAUUUCCCUUUUUUCCGUUAUUUCCCUUAUUUCCGUUAUUUACCUUAUUUUCUUUAUUUCCCUUAUUUCUGUUGUUUCUGCUAUUUCUGUUUUUUCCAUUGUUCUUCUUGGCCUGUCAUCUAAGUUUCAGAUGUAUGUUUCUGUCUCUCUGGAGUUUGUUUCCGUUAUUAUUUCCAUUAUUAAUUCAGUAAUUUCCGUAAUUUACUUUAGUUAUUCCCGUUAUUUAUUUCCGUUUUUUCCAUUAUUUAUUUAUGUUAUUUCAGUUAUUUAUUUCCGUUAUUUCUGUAGUUCUUCUUGGCCUGUCAUCUCAGUUUCUGCAGUCUGUUUCUGUCUCUCUGGAGGUUAUUUCCGUUAUUUCCAUUAUUUCCGUUAUUUCUGUUAUUUCCGUUGUUCUUCUUGGCCUGUCAUCUAUUUUUCUGCAGUCUGUUUCUGUCUCUCUGGAGGUUAUUUCCGUUAUUUCCGUUAUUUCCGUUAUUACCGUUCUUUCCAUUAUUUCCCUUGUUCUUCUUGGCCUGUCAUCAAAGGUUCUGCAGUAUGUUUCUGUCUCUCUGGUGGUUAGUUUCGUUAGUUCCGUUCUUUCCGUUAUUUCCUUUAUUCUUCUUGGC
ensembl:lncRNA